UACAGAGGUCCCGAGCGUUGUUCGGAUUCACUGGGCGUAAAGGGUGCGCAGGUGGGUUUGCAAGUUUGAUGUGAAAGCCCCGGGCUUAACCCGGGAAUGGCAUUGAAUACUGCAGAUCUGGAGGAUUGGAGGGGGGACUGGAAUUCUUGGUGUAGCAGUGAAAUGCGUAGAUAUCAAGAGGAACACCAGUGGCGAAGGCGAGUCCCUGGACAAUACCUGACACUGAGGCACGAAAAGCCAAGGGAGCAAACAGG
rnacentral:rRNA from 1 species